AGCGAACGUUAGCGGCACGCCUAACACAUGCAAGUCGCACGAGAACAGGGGCAACCCUUAGUAAAGUGGCGCACGGGUGCGUAACACGUAGAUAACCUGCCCUUUGGAGGGGGAUAACGUUCCGAAAGGAGCGCUAAUACCGCAUACAGCAAGAGCCGGUUCGCCGGUUUUUGGUCAAAGGUAGGGAUCCGCAAGGACCUACCGCCAGAGGAGGGGUCGUGCGGCCCACUCAGCUAGUUGGUGAGGUAANGGCUCACCAAGGCAGAGACGGGUAGGCUGGUCUGAGAGGAUGAUCAGCCACACUGGUACUGGAACACGGA
rnacentral:rRNA from 1 species